UUAGACAACAAACUGUUGUCUCAAGAACUACAAUGUGUAACAGAAAAGUACUAAUUAGAGAAGUUAAUGGGAGUAUAUAACAGUAAAAGAGCUCUAGGAAAAGAACCCCAGGUAAAGUGACAGUUUUCAAAUAUGAACAGAACUACCUGAUGGCAAGGGGAAGGAAGAGAGAAUGGUAUGUACAAAGGCCCAAAGCAAUGGGGAGCCAGACGAAUUUGGUAGUUGGAAGAGCAGUUAGUGUAGAGCAGGGAAUAUGGUGAAAAAGAACCAUGAGCAAGGAGUCCUCCUCCUGGGUGGGUAGUGCUACAGGGGUCCCCCAGGAUAUUCCCUCUGUCAGAUAUUUUAAGGAAUGGGGGCGGGGAGCAGAUGUGACAUAUUUUGAAGAGAUCAACUAGCUACAGGGAUUGGAAAAAUAACUGGGCUAUUUCAAGGAGCGCAGAUAAAGGCUCAUUAGGCUGGACUGUGAACAUGAUAGAGUGUAGACAGGAGCAUGUUUGAAACAAAUGAGUAAGAUUGCACUGACGGUGGAUUUAGAUAUGAGCAUGUGCAGGGGAAGAGGCCUGAGACCUAGGUCUUGGCUUCCUGGGGUGGGUUGUGGUGCCACUGUUCCACUCAAAACACACUUCAUUUUGACAUAGUGUCAGACUAACAGAAGACUUGGAAUAGUAAAAGAAGUCCCUUAUACCCUUUAUUUAGAUUCCACAAAUGUUAAGUUUAUCGUAUUUAUUUUUCUGAACUCCGAUGAAACUACGUUGCUGACACAAUGUCCCUCUCAAUAUGUCAACAUGUAUUUUUCAAAAACCAGGGCAUUCUCACAUCACACACAACUGACAAAUCAAUACUAUUAACUAUGGAAUCAUUCAAAUUUCACUAGUUAUUCCUAUAAUGUUCUUUGUAGAAGAUUCUAUUCACUGCAUUUAGUUAUCACGUGUCUGGAGUUUUCUUAUAUCUGAAACAGUUUCACUGUCCUAUGUCUUUCAUGACUGCAUAUUUUGAUGAGUACAGCCCUUAAGUGGCUUUGCUCCUAUUUUCUCAGAAUGGGCAACCAAUCAUUCACUCUUCAACCCACUACAAUUUGUCUUUUCCCUACUUGUUACCUGAGUCAGCUGUGCUUUCUUAAAAUUCUUCUGGAUACAUAAAAGCGCCACGGCAAAGCAGACAAACAUCCAUCUACUUACCUUCACACACUUCACAUUUACCCUAAAAUACCAGACAUUUUGUAUAUACUUGAACACAUCACACUGUUUUAUGUCUCCAUGACAAAUCACGUUUGUUUCCAUUUUAAAACCAAUAGGGCCCCCCAGUAUUUGAAUCACCUAGGACUUGUUAGAAAUGCAGAAUCAGACCCCAUUCCAGACCUACUGAGUCAGAAACUGCAUUCUAACACUCCUCAAGUAAUUUGUACAUAGAAGUUUGAGGAACAAUGAUUUGGAACACUUGACUCUUCUAAAUUCCAACUAAGUAUGUAAAGCUACGUUUGGCAUCACCAUCUUUCUCGAGUCUUCUUGCCCAUUCCCCCAUCAUCCUUAUCCCUCCCUUCCUCUAGGUAGAGAGUUACACACUGCCUUUUUUAGACUUUUUAUCCUAUCUGUGGCCACAUCAUUUUAAUAGUUAUUUGUAUGUCUGCUUCCUCCUAUUACACCUUAUAAUUUCUUUGAUUCCCUAUGAUUCACCUUUGAUUCUUCAGCACUGAACAGUCUGCCUGGCACAGACCUCCACAUCGAGCACGGAGCCUGGUGUGAAGCUUGAACUCACAAUCUUGAGAUUAAGAUCUGAGCCGAGAUCAGGCACUUAGCUGAGCCACCCAGAAUGCAGUGAUGAUGAUGUUACUGAGACCUAGGACCUAGGCCUCAAGAGACUUCUGGCUUCCUCUUUGUCAUCUUGGAACACUGUCCUGAAGUGCCACAUAAGGAAGCCAUCUAGCUAGUGCAGAGGACUGAAUCUCCUCAGGCAAAGCCAGCACUACCUGCCAGGAGAGUUAGCCCUAAAGAAGGCAAGCCACCAUCUCUACUGAUGGACAGCAUACAGCUUUUACACUGGCUAGAGGUUUACAGGUUGGGUUAAAGUGUUCUACACUAAAGAGACAAUAAAUCAAUCAACUUCAAUGAAAAGCAGAAAAAGAGAAAAAUGAGGGAGCUUGGAAGACAACAACUCUGUUCACGUAACUAUAACUUACAGCUUUUUCCUCAGGAGAUAUGAUAUAAUCUAGUAAUUAAGCAUUAAGGAAAACAAGAACUUAAAUAAAACACCAUCAGCACAUGAUAUUCUUUUAAAAAAAAAAGCUAUAAUAAUAAUAAUAGGAAGAGGAGGAGAAAACCCAAGAGGAAAAAUAAUAUUUCAAUAAGAGAAGAUUUAGUGUUCACAUCAAGUUGUAGGUACACCCCGGCAAUCCCAGAAACUGAGGAUGCAAUAGAUCACUACCAAGUACUGUCCUGUUAUAAAGGCAACAAUCAAUGGUAGCUGUUAUUGAAUUGUGGGAGAGUUAGACGGUCUGAGGAAAAUAGUAUAUCAACUAGUUUGUAGACUCAACAACUAUGAACAGGAAGUCAAGCCACCAUGCAGUGUUUCCAAACCAUACAGUACACAAAGGCCCAGCUGAAAGUACAGCAGUGCUAAAAUCCAGCAAGAAUUCUACAUUUCAAGCCUGCAACUACAAAUCUAAAUCUGCUCAGAGGAAGAAGCACCUUUUUCUUUUGUACAAAAAUAAGCUAGCGAUGGCCCUGUAAGACACUAUGAUAGGCAGAAAAGAAAUGAGAUAAAAAAUAAUCAGACUACCCUUGUUACUCAAAAAGGUGACUACAAAAAAUCUGUAAUUGAGUACAGGCAUUUCUGCUAUUGCUGAAUAACUCCAUGUUCUUUAAAAUAAAAACAGCUGAACUUAAGGAGAAAACAGAAUUAGAGCCAGUCAACUCAAAAUCAACGGAAUUUCAAAAUCUGAGUUCUAAUAAAACAAUAACAAUCGUUAUAAAAAUAUUAGUGCAGUUGUUUCCACUGGCAUUUGUAUCAAGAAUAAGCCAGUCCACCCUUUAAAGCUUCAUAUCCUGGAGCUCAUACUUCUUUUGAUGUGGGUCCUUGAAGACAUUCACUUCUAAUAGAAACUAGUUUAAUAAAAAUUAAAAAUAUCAUCUAGAGAUAGCCUUUUUCAUCAAUAAUUUCUUUUUACCACAAGGGACUAUCUUCACAACUACUACAAAGUAAUUUGCAACUUCCUCAGAUCUUUUAACAUAGUGGGAUAUGUAGCAUUUUUAAGCCAAUAAACUAGCAACUUACUGCAUUACAUAGGAAGGUACUUUUACAGAACUUUCAGCAUUUUUCUUACACCCCUAAGGAUUUCUCUUUAACUGUGAAGAGGCUUGCCACGAUCAUUUCAAAACACUGUGUUUGAAGUGGUUUGAAGAAAACCCACGCCAUAUUCGUCAUUAUGUUGACAUCAUUUGCCUAACAUGCCAAAUGUUAAAAGAAGUUUUUCAGAGAGAAAGAAAAUUACAUAGGUCAGAAACAGAUCUACAUAAAGAGAGAAAAAACACUGGAGAAUA